rnacentral:ncRNA from 1 species
GUAAAUGCUGGGAAGAGGAAUAGUAGAGUGCAGGAACCAUCAGAGAGCUGCCGUGUGGUGCGAGGCAGUUGGGGAGCGCGUUUGAACUCGCCUUGGAGCAGCCUGCUGAAGGGAAGGCCGACAGAUUUGAUUUUUAUAUGAAUAUAAUCGGAGCCCUCCUGAGUAGGCAGAGCCGGAAGCCGCCCGUUAUGCGGUGAGGAGAAAAUGCCGUUUGAGUCUGCGCCUGGCCGUAUGAUUCAGGACAGCAGUCAGGCAGUUUCCCCCAUAAGAGCAUGCCCACGGCAUGAAAUAGAGUGGUACCGCGCGAGAGGAUAAGCCUUGCGUCUCUAUG